AACGAACGCUGGCGGCAGGCCUAACACAUGCAAGUCGAGCGCCCUUUCGGGGGAGCGGCGGACGGGUGAGUAACGCGUGGGAAUAUGCCCUUCUCUACGGAAUAGCCUCGGGAAACUGAGAGUAAUACCGUAUACGCCCUGUGGGGGAAAGAUUUAUCGGGGAAGGAUUAGCCCGCGUUGGAUUAGGUAGUUGGUGGGGUAAUGGCCUACCAAGCCGACGAUCCAUAGCUGGUUUGAGAGGAUGAUCAGCCACACUGGGACUGAGACACGGCCCAGACUCCUACGGGAGGCAGCAGUGGGGAAUCUUAGACAAGGGGGGCAACCCUGAUCUAGCCAUGCCGCGUGAGUGAUGAAGGCCUUAGGGUUGUAAAGCUCUUUCAGCUGGGAAGAGAAUGACGGUACCAGCAGAAGAAGCCCCGGCUAACUCCGUG
rnacentral:rRNA from 1 species